UAUACGUUGGGGCUGUGGCGAUUCAUUCAACUCGAUUUUUACCGGAACAACAGGCGCUGCUCGAAAGACAACGACGGAAAAUAGAGAGCCGCUAUAAAGUCCGCUAAUUUGCACAUUACAGCACUACAAAGCGAUAUAUGAACACAUCGUAAACAGCAACCACUCGCUCACACACACAAGAAACGAGGUACCCAACGUUGCUAGACACCAUCCGAACUCCGAAGUGAGAGUAGCAAAACAACAAGAUAUCAAAACACGAAAGGAAGAGUAUUGAUCCCCCCUCCUUCUAUAGCAUGCAAAACGUGAUUUGCGCUGAGAUGAACAUAUAUGUUCAUGACGCGAGUAAUUUUCACUUUUCACUGAUCCAAAGGAGGUCACGUGGGAUUGCUCGACGCUUGCGAAAUCAACAAUGAAAAUGGCGAAACGAAACUUGUGAAUCGUGCAUUUGCUCUUCAUGGUAGCUGCCAAAAAAUCGAAUCAAACUUAUGGGACACUGGAUUACAGGUUGCUGCCACUACUCCAUGUGCCCGCAAUUGUCUUGCGUGUAUGAUUACACUAACGGCGUCGCCCACCACGGCGGAAGUGUUUUGCGUACACGCGUUUCAGCAUGAAGCCUGCAGGUGGACGUAAAUUGUAGAAGGCAGCUAGUGGGGGAGAAGAUCAUGGUCAUAGGUCAUGUGACUCCUGGAGCUCCCAGUGGGCUCCCUUGUGGAGUACUUUUCAGAACACACACACAUACAGUUUGCUCACAGAACCAACGAGUAGGAUGUUGCUUGAAUACUGAGAGAAAAUGGCGUAACACAUACAAAUAUCGUGUGACACAUAUGACAAUAAAAACAUUUUUCACGAGGGAUGCAUGAAACACUGUCGCAAUAUUGUGUGCAUGAACCAUUGUGUGUGACACAAGCCGUGGGGGCACACCGCCUCGGACACAUUUUGGGAAGCAUAAAACACAGUAUAUACAGAGCUACUAUGGUGGAU